GACGAACGCUGGCGGCGUGCUUAACACAUGCAAGUCGAACGGUAAGGCCCUUCGGGGUACACGGGUGGCGAACGGGUGAGUAACACGUGGGUGAUCUGCCCUGCACUUCGGGAUAAGCCUGGGAAACUGGGUCUAAUACCGGAUAGGACUCCGGACUGCAUGGUCUGGGGUGGAAAGCUUUUGCGGUGUGGGAUGGGCCCGCGGCGUAUGAGCUUGUUGGUGGGGUGAUGGCCUACCAAGGCGACGACGGGUAGCCGGCAUGAGAGUGUGACCGGCCACACUGGGACUGAGGUGCGGCCCAGACUCCUACGGGAGGCAGCAGUGGGGAAUAUUGCACAAUGGGCGCAAGCCUGAUGCAGCGACGCCGCGUGAGGGAUGACGGCCUUCGGGUUGUAAACCUCUUUCAGCACCGACGAAGCGCAAGUGACGGUAGGUGCGGAAGAAGGACCGGCCAACUACGUGCCAGCCGCCGCGGUAA
rnacentral:rRNA from 1 species